rnacentral:lncRNA from 1 species
CUUACUCUAUUCAACUCUAGAAUUCACUUAUGGAUCUCAAAUGUGUAUUCUUAAACUCAAAUCACUGAAGCCUUAAACCAAGCUGCAACCUGUACUCAGAACAUUAAAGAAGUCAACUAAAAUGUUUUCUCUCAGAGAGUUCACAUAUCCAAACUAGGUCUACAUCCUAUGAAGAAUUGAUUUAAAUUUGAACACGUUGGAAUUUGGGCAACAGCUGGAGAGCACAAUGUGUGUGGAAAGCUGCUCAAAAAUUAAAGACAUCCUCAGCUUUGUACUGCUGCCGCCUGGACUGUUGACAGCCCAUUAAACAAAAGUCAUACAAGCUGUACAUCUUAACGCCUUGCUUCCAAAGUGCAACCAAAGUGACUGUUUUUAUAUGUAAGAGCAUAGCAUUUCUG